rnacentral:rRNA from 1 species
AUAAGCGCCGGUAAGGUGAUAUGAACCGUUAUAACCGGCGAUUUCCGAAUGGGGAAACCCAGUGUGAUUCGUCACACUAUCAUUAACUGAAUCCAUAGGUUAAUGAGGCGAACCGGGGGAACUGAAACAUCUAAGUACCCCGAGGAAAAGAAAUCAACCGAGAUUCCCCCAGUAGCGGCGAGCGAACGGGGAGGAGCCCAGAGCCUGAAUCAGCAUGUGUGUUAGUGGAAGCGUCUGGAAAGGCGCGCGAUACAGGGUGACAGCCCCGUACACAAAAGCGCAUGUGCUGUGAGCUCGAUGAGUAGGGCGGGACACGUGGUAUCCUGUCUGAAUAUGGGGGGACCAUCCUCCAAGGCUAAAUACUCCUGACUGACCGAUAGUGAACCAGUACCGUGAGGGAAAGGCGAAAAGAACCCCGGCGAGGGGAGUGAAAAAGAACCUGAAACCGUGU